CCUACGGGUGGCAGCAGUGAGGAAUAUUGGUCAAUGGGCGCGAGCCUGAACCAGCCAAGCAGCGUGAAGGAUGACUGCCCUACGGGUUGUAAACUUCUUUUAUAAAGGAAUAAAGUGAGGCACGUGUGCCUUUUUGUAUGUACUUUAUGAAUAAGGAUCGGCUAACUCCGUGCCAGCAGCCGCGGUAAUACGGAGGAUCCGAUCGUUAUCCGGAUUUAUUGGGUUUAAAGGGUGCGUAGGCUGGUUGUUAAGUCCGUUGUGAAAGUUUGCGGCUCAACCGUAAAAUUGCAAUUGAUACUGGCAGCCUUGAGUACAGUUGAGGUAGGCGGAAUUCGUGGUGUAGCGGUGAAAUGCUUAGAUAUCACGAAGAACUCCGAUGGCGAAGGCAGCUUACUAAGCUGCCACUGACAUUGAUGCUCGAAAGUGUGGGUAGCAAACAGGAUUAGAUACCCGGGUAGUC
rnacentral:rRNA from 1 species